AAGUCGUAACAAGGUUUCCGUAGGUGAACCUGCGGAAGGAUCAUUAACUAAACGGAAUCACUUAGUGAUCUGCUUGGGUAAGACCACUAAGUAUUCUUAAAAAAGAAAACAACGAUACGCCGCGAACGUUGUUUGAAUGGUUGCUGUUUCUCUUCGGAGAAAACGCAAUCGAAUACGAGCCUUUGUUCGGAACUUGGGGGGAUACAUCCAGAGAGAUGCUGCUUGAAUGACGGGUAGCGCCCUCUGGGUUGUGCAAGUUCCUUGAAUCUAAUAUGGGCUCGUCGUCAUUCGUGAAAAAUUUGUUUUUAACGCUUAUUUUUCUGAACCUUACCAGUCUGAAUCUUUCUCUUUCUCUUUCCCUUCUUUUAUGUCGGGAAUAAGGAAAUAGAAAAAAACUAAACUUUGAACAACUCUUAGCAACGGAUAUCUCGGUUCUC
rnacentral:misc_RNA from 1 species